rnacentral:misc_RNA from 1 species
GAUGAAGAACGCAGCGAAAUGCGAUAAGUAAUGUGAAUUGCAGAAUUCAGUGAAUCAUCGAAUCUUUGAACGCACAUUGCGCCCCCUGGAAUUCCGGGGGGCAUGCCUGUUCGAGCGUCUCAGGGACGAACCCUCGCGUGGGUGUACGCGCGGUCGUGGCUGCGGUGGCGUGCCCGAGGCGGCGGCCACCGCGCUGGAAUCCAUGGGCGGACGCCUGCCGCGUGGCCGAGCGUGAUAUGACGCAUUGGCGCUCGCACGCGGCGAGGCUGCCAGCCCUGGCCCGUCUGUCGGGCGGGGGAGAGCAAGACACGUGAACUCCUCGCAUCAGGUAGGGAUACCCGCUGAACUUAAGCAUAUCAAUAAGCGGAGGA